rnacentral:rRNA from 1 species
GGCCGCAGUACUUUGACUGUGCUAAGGUAGCAUAAUAAAUUGACUUUUAAUUGAGGUCUAGAAUGAAAGGAACAAUGGAUAAUUGCUGUCUUGUUUUAACUAAUAAAAAUUUACUUAAAAGGUGAAAAUUCCUUUAAAAUAAUAUAAUAGACGAGAAGACCCUAGGAGUUUUAAAAAUUUUGUUGGGGCGACAUUAUAGCAGCAUAAUAUUUUUUGUUUAAACCUAUAAUUUUAAAUAAGAUUAUAUAACGAAAAGUGUUAAUUAAAAAUAAACUACCCUAGGGAUAACAGCAUAAUUUUAAUUUAGGUUUGUGACCUCGAUGUUGGACUAGGGACAUUUAAAAUUAACAGUGUUAAAUGAUAGUUCUGUUCGAACAUUUUACCCUACGUGAU